UACGUAGGGUGCGAGCGUUGUCCGGAAUUAUUGGGCGUAAAGAGCUUGUAGGCGGUCUGUCGCGUCGAUCGUGAAAACUUGGGGCUUAACCCUGAGCUUGCGGUCGAUACGGGCAUGACUGGAGUUCGGCAGGGGAGACUGGAAUUCCUGGUGUAGCGGUGAAAUGCGCAGAUAUCAGGAGGAACACCGGUGGCGAAGGCGGGUCUCUGGGCCGAUACUGACGCUGAGGAGCGAAAGCGUGGGGAGCGAACAGG
rnacentral:rRNA from 1 species